CUAGGAGUUUUUUAUUCUGGCUCAGGAUGAACGCUGGCGGCGUGCUAAUACAUGCAAGUCGAGCGAACGGACGAGAAGCUUGCUUCUCUGAUGUUAGCGGCGGACGGGUGAGUAACACGUGGAUAACCUACCUAUAAGACUGGGAUAACUUCGGGAAACCGGAGCUAAUACCGGAUAAUAUUUUGAACCGCAUGGUUCAAAAGUGAAAGACGGUCUUGCUGUCACUUAUAGAUGGAUCCGCGCUGCAUUAGCUAGUUGGUAAGGUAACGGCUUACCAAGGCAACGAUGCAUAGCCGACCUGAGAGGGUGAUCGGCCACACUGGAACUGAGACACGGUCCAGACUCCUACGGGAGGCAGCAGUAGGGAAUCUUCCGCAAUGGGCGAAAGCCUGACGGAGCAACGCCGCGUGAGUGAUGAAGGUCUUCGGAUCGUAAAACUCUGUUAUUAGGGAAGAACAUAUGUGUAAGUAACUGUGCACAUCUUGACGGUACCUAAUCAGAAAGCCACGGCUAACUACGUGCCAGCAGCCGCGGUAAUACGUAGGUGGCAAGCGUUAUCCGGAAUUAUUGGGCGUAAAGCGCGCGUAGGCGGUUUUUUAAGUCUGAUGUGAAAGCCCACGGCUCAACCGUGGAGGGUCAUUGGAAACUGGAAAACUUGAGUGCAGAAGAGGAAAGUGGAAUUCCAUGUGUAGCGGUGAAAUGCGCAGAGAUAUGGAGGAACACCAGUGGCGAAGGCGACUUUCUGGUCUGUAACUGACGCUGAUGUGCGAAAGCGUGGGGAUCAAACAGGAUUAGAUACCCUGGUAGUCCACGCCGUAAACGAUGAGUGCUAAGUGUUAGGGGGUUUCCGCCCCUUAGUGCUGCAGCUAACGCAUUAAGCACUCCGCCGGGGGUC
rnacentral:rRNA from 1 species